GGGGGUUUAGCUCAGUUGGUAGAGCGUUCGCUUAGCAUUUUCGGAGGUGUCUAGUUUGCGAAAGGUCGCGUGUUCGAAUCAUGCAGUCUCCA
rnacentral:tRNA from 1 species